CAGAAUCUAGAAAUUCAUUUUUGUCUCUCCUCAUCUACCGUUCAUUUCUAAUUUCUACUAAUAUUUAUCUCUUAUUUGCUCCUCCUCCUCCGCAGCACCGCCGUGCUCUUCCCCAAGCUCUGCCGGAUGUAAGGUUACGUUCUCCCUCAACUUCUUUGCAAGUUAUUCGUCUUUCUCCCGUUGUCAUUUUUAUUGGCGAUGUCACUCUUAACUAAAUAAAGCGUAAAACUUCCUAGUUCUUCUAGUUCUGCUUGAACCAUUUUUUAGUGACAUAAGAUAGAAGCAAGCAUGCCUUCGUUAAAAAAAGAUUGAUUGCUGGAUACAUAUCCGAAACAUCAUUUGUUUGUCUGUAGCAAGCCAAUGAUAUGAAUCGGGAAAAUCUUGAAAGAAUGGUUGGAUCAGACGAUUCUGCUUUCAGCGGCUUAGAUCUUGCAACCCUCAUCAGGCAGAAGUCUGGAUGAUCUUAUGAUGUUCAGCUCAUCUAGAAGAGGAGGUUGGUGCUUUGAUUGUUAAAUCAAAGACUAGCUGGCUUUCUGCUGAGGAGAUUUGCAAAAUACUGAAACAAGCUGAGAGUAAAAACUUAACCGAGUCUGUGGAAAAGCCUCCCAUAGAUUCCAUUGGACUGUUCAUUUUCAGAGAGAAGAAGUUCUACGAUCAUUGGAGGUGGAAUGACGUGGGUGGAAGUAAGAGGAAGAGAGGUGGAAACAACAGGCUGGGAAAGAAGAAGAAGCUUUCGGGAAAUGAUGGAUGUAGCGUAAAUGUGAUGGAGUCCACUGGAUUGCUAGAAGACAAUUAUGUGAGAAGGGUGCAUAGGGAUUCCAAAAA